CUGAUAGAGUCCUGUUUAUUGUAGUUGGAUGUAUUUAUCACACAGAUGUCUGCUUGAUAUUGAAAAGCUGAGCCCAGCCUAAACCUGCCUUUAAAUCCUAGGUCUUCACAUUCCUAUUUAAGAGAGUAAUAUUUGAGUGCUGGAGGAGUUCAGGUGUUGGCUGCAGGAUAAUUUCAGCACAACACAGGUGAGUUCAUCAGGACUAGCCUGCCUGAGUCCAUACAUAGCUGCAGAGGAGAUGAGGAAGGGGUGGAUGAGCACUGAAGAGGUGUUUUUGCUUUGUAGUGUUAUGCUUUGAUUGCUCAGAAGAUGUACUACAUGUUUUCUUUGUGUUUGUGAUGCAGUGUUCAGUUAUCUUCUCAUUUGCAACCUCAGAAGUACCUGAAAAGUCUCACUGUGGUUGCUGAAGUUCUUCCUGUUGGUCUGGGAACAACUAUCAGCGCUCAAAUGGAAGCAAAUAAGGAGGCAGUAUGGUGCUAUAACAGCCCCUUUGGAUCUCCCAAUUGACUGCAC
rnacentral:lncRNA from 1 species